UACGUAGGGUGCGAGCGUUAAUCGGAAUUACUGGGCGUAAAGCGUGCGCAGGCGGUUUUGUAAGACAGCUGUGAAAUCCCCGGGCUUAACCUGGGAACUGCGGUUGUGACUGCAAGGCUGGAGUGCGGCAGAGGGGGGUGGAAUUCCUGGUGUAGCAGUGAAAUGCGUAGAGAUCAGGAGGAACACCGAUGGCGAAGGCAGCCCCCUGGGCCGACACUGACGCUCAUGCACGAAAGCGUGGGGAGCAAACAGG
rnacentral:rRNA from 1 species